UACUUUCCUACUGCCACCGCCCAGAUUUUCGAGCGACCAUUUUCAGCCAUGUAUUUCUCAACGGACCAGCUAACGAUUCCACACGGUCUCAUGAGGUAUUCCUAGCUCGAUAUCUAGGCUAUAUAUGGACCGAUUUAAUCGAAAAAAGACCCUAAAUGAUGUUUAUGGGACAUCUAGGAGUGCCAAGAAUGAAGCUCGUCAAAGUGGGAGCAGUGAUGUCCUCCUUUUGCUUUGGGCGUCUCUGGGUCUGAUUGCCCUGAAGGACUCUUCCCGUUGUCAGAGGGAGAGUCUGGUCUCUCUCCUGUCAAAGACAAACAGAUUAUCUAGUUACUUAGUUGUCUACUGUGCUGUACUGUGUGGCCAAACUUGUGAAACAUAUAAGUCUAUGAUUGGUUCAGAUUUGGUCUUGUUUGGGGGAGUUCAUUAAAAUAAAAGCCAGUGUGAAAAACAGUGGUCACCAAGUCAAUCAUCAAACAUUUCUGUAAAAACUCAAUGUGUUUUCCGUUUGCUCCAGCAGUAUUCUUAAAGUGUAUAAGAAUUUAGUGAAUAUUUAGCAAAGUUUUAGUGAAUUUUGAAUUUAAAAUAUAUAUAUAUUUUCAAAUAUUAGUUUGAUGAGUCCGGCCUACAAGACCCAGUUCCAUCUCCUGAGGCUGAAAGCCCAGAGACUUGCACUUUGCUUGGGUGUGCGGUUUUGUCUCGGGGCGCUAAAAUGAACAUUAGAGGCCAUCAAGCUACUAUCCUGAGACCGAUAUUACAUUUUUGGCCAAUACCGAUAUCCAAUAUUUUCCUUGCCCCAAAAAACGAUACCGAUAACCAAUAUUUAAAAAUGUAGUCGCCUUUAAAGCAUUCUAGUACAGUUAAAUAGUUCACACACACAAGGAUGCAGCGGUCUAAGCCACUGCACCUCAGUGCAAGAGGCAUCACUACAGUCCCUGGUUCGAAUCCAGGCUGUAUCCAGGCUGUAUGAUUGGGAGUCCCACAGUAGUUGUCUGUUAUUGGUGUAGAGAGGGUGACAAAGGAGAGGGAUCCCACAUGUGGAUGUAAGAUGCAAAUUAUAAUUAUUAUGGGAAAUAUUCAUUUAAAAUCCAGGAAUUUUAAAACUUUAGCUCUCGAGGAUAUGCCAGUAGGCUACAGUAGGUGGUAUCUCUAGAUCAUGCCAGUAGGUUACAGUAGGUUGUAUCUCUCUAGAUCAUGCCAGUAGGCUACAGUAGGUUGUAUCUCUCUAGGCCAUGCCAGUAGGUUACAGUAGGUUAUGGUAGGUUGUAUCUCUCUAGGUCAUGCCUGUAGGUUACAGUAGGUUACAGUAGGUUGUAACUCCCAAGGUCAUGCCAGUAGGCUACAGUAGGUUGUAAACUCUCUAGGUCGUGGCAGCAGGCUAGAGUAGGUUUUAUCCAAGUGGAAACAAUGAUCACAAACAACUUGCACAAUCAAGUUCGACUUAAAAUUGAUUCCCCAUAGCCAGCAACUUUCUUAGUGCAAAGGUUGCAUGUUCAGAUCUCAUCACGGACAACAUUUGCAUUUGCAUUAGCUAACUUUGCAACUACUUACUAUUUUUCCAAUGUGGAAAGUGUCAAAUUUGUUCAACAACAAAAUGAAUGGCAUAUUUGCUACGUGAGGUUUACUUGAUCCAAAAGAAGUUUAGUAAUGCUUAAGCGACAUUUUUUUUUUUAAACUUUAUUUUACUCGGCAAGUCAGUUAAGAACAAAUUCUCAUUUUCAAUGACGACCUAGGAACAAUGGGUUAACUACCUAGUUCAGGGGCAGAACGACAGAUUUUUACCUUGCCAGGUAAAUCGUGCAACCUAAAUAAGAAAAUGGUGCUUUGGUAGCGUCCUCAUAGCUCUUCAUAAAGUAGGAUUUCCUUCCCGGGUACAUCUGCUGAGCUAGAGUGUUAAUUUGUAGUUUGUCUCUAGGAUUUUUGAACAAAACCAUGUAAUUGGCGUUCAAACUGAUGGUGCGGCUAUUUUUACCUUGGUGAAAGACAUUCUACACCAAGUAAAGCACGGACAGGUUUCUAUGAUGUGUAUAUUGGGUAAAAGCUUGAGCAAUUUCAGGAUGUUCGCUACCUGCAAAUAGCAUAUCGUCCAAAAGCAGCAGAUUGUUUUUAUGAGGAGGGAGAAGUUCAUCAUCAGACGGAUUCAGGUAUUCCUUCAAAAAACUAGAUUUUUAUUGUCUUCAACAAUUCAUCAUACAGAGGUUGAUAACAAGAAUAACCCCACACAACAUUAUCAGGCUUUUGAGAUAACACAUGUUCAGAAUUCUCUAAAAUACUUUUUACAAAAUACGUUUUACCACUAUUAGACGGCCCUGCGAUUAAGGCCGAAAAUGGUAGUUGCAACCGGGGGUCAAAACCUUCUAUAGCAGUCAUAUCUUAAGCUUUAAGACACACUGCGGCUUGUAGCAUAAGUCAGUAGCCAAAGGGCAAUGUGGUCCCGUCAGGCAAAAGCAGUCUCUUUUCAUAGACUACCAUGGUGUGGAAAUAAUCAGAAUUUGUUGGUAACAUAGGUAAGAUGUUUUAUAUUCAUCAUAUGUUUGUAAGUUACUUCUCAUCAAGAAUGUUAUUUUUGUAUAAUACUGUGGCAGGGUUGCAGUAUCUGUUCUAUGUCAAAACUAAGUUGCAUGAGCCACAGAGAGGGGAGAGGUCAAAGUGUCAUCAAGCGUGUAUCUCUUGGCUCCACAAUGUCUGUGUGCCAGUCAGUGUGUCUCUGUGAUCUUGUCAAGAUAGGAUUGGUUGUAUUUAGAGUUGGUUGUAUCUAAAUGACAAUUUGAUAUAUGCCUGUUGAUAUGGAGGAUUGGUUUAUGGUUCUGGGGUUUGAGUAAGGAGACAAAGCUGAACGAUUUAUUAUGUCUAUGCUGUCUGACUAAGUGUGUUCUUUGCUAUUAAAGGAUCGCAGUUGCAAUGCAGAGGGGGCUCUCAGAGAAUUCACUGAGAGACACUGAAUUACCUGAGAGUCACAGGAUUGUGAUAGAGCUCAUAUAAUUAAAGAUGUACUUUGAUAACUAA